rnacentral:rRNA from 1 species
GAUAUUGGUCAAUGGGGGGAACCCUGAACCAGCGACACCGCGUGAGGGAAGAAGGUUUUCGGAUUGUAAACCUCUGUUGUCGGGGAAGAUAAUGACGGUACCCGAUGAGGAAGCCACGGCUAACUACGUGCCAGCAGCCGCGGUAAUACGUAGGUGGCAAGCGUUGUCCGGAAUUAUUGGGCGUAAAGGGUGCGUAGGCGGCCUUUUAAGUCAGAUGUGAAAGCCCACGGCUUAACCGUGGGACUGCAUUUGAAACUGGAGGGCUUGAGUAUCGGAGAGGGUAGUGGAAUUCCCAGUGUAGCGGUGGAAUGCGUAGAUAUUGGGAGGAACACCAGUGGCGAAGGCGACUACCUGGACGAAAACUGACGCUGAGGCACGAAAGCUAGGGGAGCAAACA